AGCGGAAGCGUGCUGGGCCCAUA
rnacentral:piRNA from 2 species